CGGACUGUAGCGCAGCUUGGUAGCGCACCGUCAUGGGGUGUCGGGGGUCGUGGGUUCAAAUCCCGCCAGUCCGA
rnacentral:tRNA from 1 species